AAAGAACUUGCUUCGAUUCGGUUAGCGGCGGACGGGUGAGUAACACGUGGGCAACCUGCCCUGUAGACGGGGAUAACACCGAGAAAUCGGUGCUAAUACCGGAUAACACGAAAGACCGCAUGGUCUUUCGUUGAAAGGCGGCGCAAGCUGUCGCUACAGGAUGGGCCCGCGGCGCAUUAGCUAGUUGGUGAGGUAACGGCUCACCAAGGCGACGAUGCGUAGCCGACCUGAGAGGGUAAUCGGCCACACUGGGACUGAGACACGGCCCAGACUCCUACGGGAGGCAGCAGUAGGGAAUCUUCCGCAAUGGACGAAAGUCUGACGGAGCAACGCCGCGUGAGCGAAGAAGGUCUUCGGAUUGUAAAGCUCUGUUGUUAGGGAAGAACAAGUACCGCAGUAACUGGCGGUACCUUGACGGUACCUAACGAGAAAGCCACGGCUAACUACGUGCCAGCAGCCGCGGUAAUACGUAGGUGGCCAGCGUUGUCCGGAAUUAUUGGGCGUAAAGCGCGCGCAGGCGGUCCUUUAAGUCUGAUGUGAAAGCCCACGGCUCAACCGUGGAGGGUCAUUGGAAACUGGGGGACUUGAGUGCAGAAGAGGAGAGCGGAAUUCCACGUGUAGCGGUGAAAUGCGUAGAGAUGUGGAGGAACACCAGUGGCGAAGGCGGCUCUCUGGUCUGUAACUGAC
rnacentral:rRNA from 1 species